AACGAACGCUGGCGGCAUGCCUAACACAUGCAAGUCGAACGAGACCUUCGGGUCUAGUGGCGCACGGGUGCGUAACGCGUGGGAACCUGCCCUUAGGUUCGGAAUAACUCCCCGAAAGGGGUGCUAAUACCGGAUAAUGUCUUCGGACCAAAGAUUUAUCGCCUUUGGAUGGGCCCGCGUUGGAUUAGCUAGUUGGUAGGGUAAAAGCCUACCAAGGCGACGAUCCAUAGCUGGUCUGAGAGGAUGAUCCGCCACACUGGGACUGAGACACGGCCCAGACUCCUACGGGAGGCAGCAGUGGGGAAUAUUGGACAAUGGGCGAAAGCCUGAUCCAGCAAUGCCGCGUGAGUGAUGAAGGCCUUAGGGUUGUAAAGCUCUUUUAACCGGGAUGAUAAUGACAGUACCGGGAGAAUAAGCUCCGGCUAACUCCGUG
rnacentral:rRNA from 1 species